AGGUGAACCUGCGGAAGGAUCAUUCAUAAUAAGUGUUUUAUGGCACUUUUUAAAUCCAUAUCCACCUUGUGUGCAAUGUCAGUCGAUCUUCUUCAUGGAGAUCGGCCAAACAUCAACCUUAUCUUUUAACUCUUUGUCUGAAAAAUAUUAUGAAUAAACAAUUCAAAAUACAACUUUCAACAACGGAUCUCUUGGCUCUCG
rnacentral:misc_RNA from 1 species